GAGAUGUUGGGUUAAGUCCCGCAACGAGCGCAACCCUGAUCCUUAGUUGCCAUCAUUUAGUUGGGCACUCUAAGGAGACUGCCGGUGACAAACCGGAGGAAGGUGGGGAUGACGUCAAGUCAUCAUGGCCCUUAUGGCCAGGGCUACACACGUGUCUACAAUGGACGGUACAAAGGGUUGCUAACUCGCGAGAGUGUGCUAAUCCCAUAAAGCUGUUCGUAGUCCGGAUCGCAGUCUGCAACUCGACUGCGUGAAGUCGGAAUCGCUAGUAAUCGCGGAUCAGAAUGCCGCGGUGAAUACGUUCCCGGGCCUUGUACACACCGCCCGU
rnacentral:rRNA from 1 species